CGAACGGAAGUUUAAGCAAUUAAACUUUAGUGGCGAACGGGUGAGUAACGCGUAAGCAAUCUGCCCCUAAGACGAGGAUAACAGUUGGAAACGACUGCUAAGACUGGAUAGGAGACAAGAAGGCAUCUUCUUGUUUUUAAAAGACCUAGCAAUAGGUAUGCUUAGGGAGGAGCUUGCGUCACAUUAGUUAGUUGGUGGGGUAAAGGCCUACCAAGACUAUGAUGUGUAGCCGGGCUGAGAGGUUGAACGGCCACAUUGGGACUGAGACACGGCCCAAACUCCUACGGGAGGCAGCAGUAGGGAAUUUUCGGCAAUGGAGGAAACUCUGACCGAGCAACGCCGCGUGAACGAUGAAGUAUUUCGGUACGUAAAGUUCUUUUAUUAGGGAAGAAUAAAUGAUGGAAAAAUCAUUCUGACGGUACCUAAUGAAUAAGCCCCGGCUAACUAUGUGCCAGCAGCCGCGGUAAUACAUAGGGGGCAAGCGUUAUCCGGAAUUAUUGGGCGUAAAGGGUGCGUAGGCGGUUAAAUAAGUUUGUGGUCUAAGUGCAAUGCUCAACAUUGUGAUGCUAUAAAAACUGUUUAGCUAGAGUAAGAUAGAGGCAAGUGGAAUUCCAUGUGUAGUGGUAAAAUGCGUAAAUAUAUGGAGGAACACCAGUAGCGAAGGCGGCUUGCUGGGUCUUUACUGACGCUGAGGCACGAAAGCGUGGGGAGCAAACAGGAUUAGAUACCCUGGUAGUCCACGCCGUAAACGAUGAGUACUAAACGUUGGUUAAAACCAGUGUUGAAGUUAACACAUUAAGUACUCCGCCUGAGUAGUACGUACGCAAGUAUGAAACUUAAAGGAAUUGACGGGACUCCGCACAAGCGGUGGAUCAUGUUGUUUAAUUCGAAGGUACCCGAAAAACCUCACCAGGUCUUGACAUGCUUCUGCAAAGCUGUAGAAACACAGUGGAGGUUAUCAGUUGCACAGGUGGUGCAUGGUUGUCGUCAGCUCGUGUCGUGAGAUGUUGGGUUAAGUCCCGCAACGAGCGCAACCCUUAUUGUUAGUUACCAGCACGUAAUGGUGGGGACUUUAGCAAGACUGCCAGUGAUAAAUUGGAGGAAGGUGGGGACGACGUCAAAUCAUCAUGCCCCUUAUGACCUGGGCUACAAACGUGAUACAAUGGCUGUUACAAAGGGUAGCUGAAGCGCAAGUUUUUGGCGAAUCUCAAAAAAACAGUCUCAGUUCGGAUUGAAGUCUGCAACUCGACUUCAUGAAGUUGGAAUCGCUAGUAAUCGCGAAUCAGCAUGUCGCGGUGAAUACGUUCUCGGGGUUUGUACACACCGCCCGUCAAACCACGAAAGUUGGCAAUACCCAAAGCCGGUGGCCUAACUUCGCAAGAAGAGGGAACCGUCUAAGGUAGGGUCGAUGAUUGGGGUUAAG
rnacentral:rRNA from 1 species